GGUGUCCUACGGGGCGCAGCAGUGGGGAAUAUUGCACAAUGGGCGCAAGCCUGAUGCAGCGACGCCGCGUGCGGGAUGGAGGCCUUCGGGUUGUAAACCGCUUUUGUUCAAGGGCAAGGCACGGUCUUUGGCCGUGUUGAGUGGAUUGUUCGAAUAAGCACCGGCUAACUACGUGCCAGCAGCCGCGGUAAUACGUAGGGUGCAAGCGUUAUCCGGAUUUAUUGGGCGUAACGGGCUCGUAGGCGGUUCGUCGCGUCCGGUGUGAAUGUUCAU
rnacentral:rRNA from 1 species